rnacentral:misc_RNA from 1 species
UGUGGGAGCGAGCCUGCUCGCGAAAGCGGUCUGUCAGACACAUCAAUGUUGACUGACACCCCGUAAUCGCGAGCAGGCUCGCUCCCACA